CCAGAAUUCAGGUGCAAAUCUGAUCCAGUCUCCAGCAGCUGAUGAUGUCCAUUCAGAGGACUUUCUCUUAUAUGCCUUGGUUGGAUAUGAAAAAGUAAUGAAGUGUCAGUGGGCUUUCACUGCCAUCUUGUGGACAACGUGUAGAUGUGCUCUGACUUGAGAAGACGACCUGGCAUGGAGAGGAGUGUGAUUGAUAAGAGUUUUAUAGUCGUGGAAUUAAUCGGAAAGGAAUGCAUGGAAACAUAAAAACUAAAUGGAGAACCAAGAUGGCAGCGUCGUAAGGUACAAACCUGUGAGUGCUGCCUCCCACAACAACAUUGAAAAUACCAACUAUAAGACAAAACAGCUAUCAUUCAGAACCAUGGGAAAGCUGGCCCAGUGGAAGUUCUACAACUGGAAGGAAAGAA